UACGAAGGGUGCAAGCGUUAAUCGGAAUUACUGGGCGUAAAGCGCGCGUAGGUGGUUCAGUAAGAUGGAAGUGAAAGCCCCGGGCUCAACCUGGGAACUGCUUCCAUAACUGCUGAGCUAGAGUACGGCAGAGGGGGGUGGAAUUCCGCGUGUAGCAGUGAAAUGCGUAGAUAUGCGGAGGAACACCGAUGGCGAAGGCAAUCCCCUGGGCCUGCACUGACGCUCAUGCACGAAAGCGUGGGGAGCAAACAGG
rnacentral:rRNA from 1 species